GAUGAACGCUGGCGGCGUGCCUAAUACAUGCAAUUCGAGCGAACGGACGAGAAGCUUGCUUCUCUGAUGUUAGCGGCGGACGGGUGAGUAACACGUGGAUAACCUACCUAUAAGACUGGGAUAACCUCGGGAAACCGGAGCUAAUACCGGAUGAUAUUUUGAACCGCAUGGUUCAAAAGUGAAAGACGGUCUUGCUGUCACUUAUAGAUGGAUCCGCGCUGCAUUAGCUAGUUGGUAAGGUAACGGCUUACCAAGGCAACGAUGCAUAGCCGACCUGAGAGGGUGAUCGGCCACACUGGAACUGAGACACGGUCCAGACUCCUACGGGAGGCAGCAGUAGGGAAUCUUCCGCAAUGGGCGAAAGCCUGACGGAGCAACGCCGCGUGAGUGAUGAAGGUCUUCGGAUCGUAAAACUCUGUUAUUAGGGAAGAACAUAUGUGUAAGUAACUGUGCACAUCUUGACGGUACCUAAUCAGAAAGCCACGGCUAACUACGUG
rnacentral:rRNA from 1 species